CAAGAUUAAGAGCAAACAGUGAUCGUGAGCAUGCAAGUAUCAACAUACAAUCAAGGGGUUAAUUACAUGUCGUACAGUAGAAGCAUAGAUAGAUAAUAAUUACGAAUUUAACACACUGAAGUAAAACAACCACAUUGGUUUGGAAUUUUGAAAGUAAUCAGGAAAUACCAGUAAUAAGAGAGCACAACAGAAUGCAAGAGUCAAAUAUGAGCAAAAUGUUAGCCUUGGCUUUCAAGUCGGCUAAUAAUAGUCACAAGUAGGGAACAACAACAGAGUAAGAGAUAAAAGGAGAGAAAUAGCACAAGAGAGACCAAUGUGUAUUGCUAUGUUAUUUGUGAAAUGCAAUGUAUCAAUGUGUAAUGCAAAAGAGAAUGGGGGUACUUAUAGUACUGAAGAUGAGCAAACAAACAAGGUAGCAAUCAG
rnacentral:lncRNA from 1 species